AGUGUUGAAAGCUUGGCUCCUGACUGUGGUGGCUUAGAACAAUGUCAUGCAUUCCUAAAGUGGCAGGACCUCAUCUUUGGGGGCACUUGUUUUGAGACCAGAGAUCUUAAUCAUGGUCAGACCUUGAGAAAGCCUCUAACCCAAUGUGACAAUACUAACUCCAUCACAACAAAGACUCUAUGAAAAUUGUAUGAACAAAUGUUCUAAAAUACAGUGGUGCUAGGGACUGGGGAAGGGGGAUGGAGCAGAGCAGUUUAAUGCAUACAGGGCUUCUUUGGGGGUGAUUAAAAACCUUCUGGAACUAGACAGAGGUGGUGGUUGUACAUCAUUGUGGAUGUAGUCAGUGCCAUGGAGCUGUUUACUUUAAAACUAGUAAUUUGGGAGUUCCCAUUUGUGGCUCAGCAGUAACAAACCUGACUAGUAUCCAUGAGGAUGUGGGUUCGAUCCCUGGCUCAGGGGUUAAGGAUCCCACCUUGCCAUGUAGAUUGUAGACACAGCUCGGAUCCUGUGCUGCUGUGGCUGUGGCAUAGGCUGGCAGCUGCAGCUCUGAUUCUACCCCUAGACUGGGAACUUCCAUAUGCUUCAGGUGCAGCCCUAAAAAGCAAAAAAAUAAAAUGAGUAAUUUUAUCUUAUGUGGAUUUCACCUGCAAAAAAGAAGAAUAUAUUUGAAAUUCAAGAUAGGUGUUCACUCACUGUAAACAUGAUUGCAUCACCACUGGCAGAUAUGUGUAAGGGUCUUCUAAUGAUUUUGGAUGGGAUGGCUUCUGUUUGUAAUUUUAUUUCAAGUAAUAAUUCUGUUCAAAAAGUAGGCAUUUGUAGCCUUUACUAGAAAAGAUGCAUGGCUGAACUAGAAGUGACAAUAGACAUUUGGAAGAGGAGUUAUGAUCUUGAAAAACUGAGUUUGUUUUACAAGCCAAUAUAAUAAUUUUUUUCUGACUGAUUUUAAUUGGCAGGAAUGGGACUUAGCAGAGAGAGGGAACACAUGGGUGAGUUAUAUAGCACAAUUGCACAGGGCUUGAAACUUGACCUUCGUUGCAUUGAUGAUAAUGACAAUGAACACCAAGGCGUGUGGGAUGCAAUACUAUGUCUGUGGUUGGCUUACACGUUCUCUCUCUUCUUUCUUCUCCAAAGCCACUGCUUGAUAUUCAGGGCCUCUCUGCUACCCAGUUUUCAACUUGUUCCAGUUCAUUGUGUCUAUCAUCUUUGAGAAAAGGUAAUAACAUGUUAAAAAGUAGUAAGAAUCAUUAUUACCCACAUGAGUCCAUUAUGGUCCAGUCACUGCC
rnacentral:lncRNA from 1 species